GGUGCUGGGCCUCGGGGCCGCACAGGAGCCACGGAGGAGGGGAAGGGUUUCUCUGAUGCUCAGGAAGUGAGUCGGCGGAAGUGGGAGCGCGGCAAGCGGAUGGAGCCAGCGAGAAACACAUAGCCAGGGUUCUGUCGCAUGACCCCCGACGGCACCUGCUCCCCAUCAGCAGCAUCAUACUCCGACAAUGUGAUGGUCAUGAAGUCUCCGUCAGAGAGGAAAGAGGGAGUUAAUCUAUAAUGAAGAUCAACAGUGAAGAGGAAAGGGGUCUUCCCUGGAACCCUUCAGUCAUAUACGACAUUUUACACAACAAUAAUGGACCUGUGUAAGGAGGUAUGUGUGGGAGAAGAUUCCAGAAGGUCUUGAGACACUCCAGAUGAAGGUUGGUGUGGGGCUGUGCUGCUGGAGCACCAGAGAGUGAAAAGAGGCAAGCAAUUUAUAGUCUUAUCAAAUAUCGACAAGUUUGGGUUUUCCUUUAGAGUCGGGCAGGGCCUGGCUGGACUUCUUUCUCCACCAGUCUCCAUGAGGCUCAAACAUGUUCUGAUUUUCAGGUUCUGAAAAAGCGCUCAGGGAAACAGCAGCUUCCAUUCUGGUUUUUUUCCCUUUCUGAAUUUACUUUCCUUUUAUUUUUGGCCUGGUAAUUUCUGUCUUACCAGCUUUUAGAUGUCCUUGAGAUUUUUCUUUUCUUUCAUUUUUUUUUUUUUUUUGAGACAGGGUGUAAACCAAAAACUCUUUUAUUCUUUUUUUUUUCUUUUGAGACAGGAUGUAAACCAAAAAUAAAAUUCUAAGCCCCGCCCUCCCUGCAACCAUCUGAAUGGACUUCCUCCUGGGCCAGGGUACUUUUAACCUGAAAGACUGGUUCAGGCCAUGAUGGGAAGUAGAGGUCAGACAGGACUCGUUAUACCUCUCUGAUGAGAAGCAUUUACAAUCUAUUUUCUCUGAAGCCUGCUACCCGGAGGCUUCAUCUGCAUGGUAGAACUUUGGUCUCCACAACCUCCUAUCACAGCACAGACAUUUUCUUUCUAUUGAGCCCAGAUCUUUAGAUAAACUCAACCAAUUGUCAACCAGUCAAUUUUAAAUCUACCUGUAACCUAGGAGCCCCCAACCUCCGCCCAGCAAUUCAAGUUGUCCCACCUUUCUGGACAGAACCAACGUAUUUCUUAAAUGUAUUUGAUUGACAUCUCAUGUCUCCCUAAAAUGUAUAAAACCAAGCUGCACCCUGACCACCUUGGGCAUAGUUCUCAGGAUCUCCUGAGGGCUGUGUUACAGGCCAUGGUCACUCAUAUUUGGCUCAGAAUAAAUCUCUUCAAAUAUUUUACAGAGCUUGACUCUUUUCAUUUGUUAAUGAUCUCACUCUAUCGUCCAGGCUGGAGUGCAGUGGUGCGAUCAUGGGUUACUGCAGCCUCUACCUCCCUGGGCUCAAGUGAUCCUCCCUUCUCAGCCUCCCAAGUAGCUGAGACUACACAAAUGCGCCACCAUGCCUGGUUAAUUUUAAAACUUUUUGUAUAGAUGGAGGUCUUACUGUGUUGCCCAGGCUGGUCUCAAACUUCUGGCCUCAAGUGAUCCUACCACCACAGCCUCCCAAAUUGGUGGGAUUACAGGGAUAAGAUUUUUAUUUUAUUUUUAUAGAGAUGGGGGUCACAGUAUGAUGCCCUGGCUGGUAUUGAACUCCUGGGUUCAAGCAAUACCCCUGCCUUAGCUUCUCAAAGUUCUGGGAUUACAGGUGGGAGCCACCAUGCCCAGCCUGGGAGAAGACUUUUAAAACAUAUUUUGUUUAGGCCAGGCAUGGUGUUGAGGUCAGGAGUUCAAGACCAGGCUGGCCAACAUGGCAAAACUGUGUCUCUACUAAAAAAUAUAAAAAACUUAGCCAGGCAUGGUGGCAGGUACCUGUAGUCCCAGCUACUUGGGAGGAUGAGGAAGGAGAAUUGCUUGAACCCAGGAGGUGGAGGUUGCAGUGAGUCAAGAUCAUGCCACUGCACUUCAGCCUGGGUGACAGAGUGAGACUCUGUCUCAAGAAAACAAAAGCAAAUCAUGUUUUGUUGAGUUUGUUUAGCUGUGUAUUCACAAGUUGAUUGGCAUCUCUCAGCCUGUCCCAACCCCACCCCAGAAUGCUCUUCCCAGGCUUCCUAACAGGUAUUCUCCUUUACCUGGAUUGCAUUUGUAGAAAACACUCUGCUUCAGUGGGAGGCAAGGAACAGAAUAUUUCUCUAUCUAGGGCAUACUCUUCCAGGUUAUCUGAUUCCAAUUCUAUGGGACCUUUUUUACCAUUCUGAAAGCUACAGAUAACCGAUAGCAAUGAAAAAUAAUUCUUGUCUAUGGAUAUGGAAAUGCUUAUGUUUUGAAGAGAGACAACCGUUCCUCACUUCCCCCCAAAUCCCCUAGUUUGCUUCCAUUUUACACAUUCAUUUCAAUAUUUCUCUUCUCUUCCUUCUUUUCUUUUUUUUUAGGUUAUCUCCCUCUGUGCCAGGCCAGAGUGCAGUGGUACAAUCAUGGCUCACUGUAGUCUCAACCUCCUGGGCUCAAGAGAUCCUCCCACUUCAGCCUCCCAAGCAGCUAGGACUACAGGCAUGUGUCAUCAUAUCUGGCUAAUUAAAAAAAAAUUAUAGAGGUGGGCUCUCCCUAUGUUUCCCUGGUUGGUCUCAAACUCCUGGGCUCAAGUGAUCCUCCCAUCUUGGCCUCCCAACUUGCUGGGAUUACAGGCAUUUGCCACUGUGCCCAGGCCAUUUCAAUAUUUCUGAUCAAUAAAUGUGCCUGUCCUUCAGAUUCUCCUUUGAAUUGGCUGUCACACCUCUUCAGUUUCUUCACAGAGGAGUUAAACAUAAUCUUGAGCAGCAUGUGAUAUUGUUUAGCUCUGUGUCCCCACCAAAUCUCAUCUUGAAUCGUAAUCCCCCUGUGUGUCAAGCGAUGGACCUGGUAGGGGAUGAUUGGAUCAUGGGGGGCGGUUUUCCCCAUGGUGUUCCCAUAUAGUGAAUGAGUUCUCACGAGAUCUGAUGGUUUAAAAGUGUUUGGCAGUUCCCCCUUCUCUCUCUCUCUCUCUCUGGCCACUUUGUGAAAAAGGUGCUCGCUUUUCCUUCGCUUUCUGCCGUGAUUGUUAAGUUUCCUGAGGUCUCCCCAGCCAUGUGGAACUGUGAGUUAAUUAAACUUCUUUCCUUUAUAAAUU